AAUAUAUUGGAAUGCUUCUCAAUCAGAUGGUAAUGUUUUGGAAGUUGCAUUUUGAUACAUAGAUAUUCACUGACAUUUUAAAUAACUACAAGUUGAUGAUUUGCAAUUAUAUAAAUAUAGCUACACUAAUACAUCUUAAUCCAAAACAUAAACUCACAAUGCAUAUCAUUACCUUGUUAAAAUUGUAAAGAAACUGUGUUAUUAAUAAGAUGUAUAAAUAUACAUAACCAAAGCAUUCUGUCUCAUUCUAUUUAUCAGGGUAUGGAGUUUUUACCAGCAAAAACAUUGAGCCAGGAGAAUUCUUGCUUGAGUACAGUGGAAAACACAUCACUGGCUCAGAAGGAGAGGCUCUGUUCAAGAAGUACUCAGAUGCAAAUGCAGCAUUUUUGUAUUUCUACUCCUUUCAGGGAAAGACUUGCUGUGUUGAUGGCAGUAAGAAUACUCAACUUGGAAGAUUCAUCAAUGAUGAUCACAUCAACCCAAAUAGCAAGAUUAAAAUAGUAAUGGAUGAAAAGAAAAGUCCUCAUCUGUGUGUGUUUGCAAC